rnacentral:rRNA from 1 species
UCUUGGGUUGUAAACCUCUUUUCUCAGGGAAGAACAUAAUGACGGUACCUGAGGAAUAAGCAUCGGCUAACUCCGUGCCAGCAGCCGCGGUAAUACGGAGGAUGCAAGCGUUAUCCGGAAUGAUUGGGCGUAAAGCGUCCGCAGGUGGCUAUGUAAGUCUGCUGUUAAAGAGUGAGGCUCAACCUCAUAAGAGCAGUGGAAACUACAUAGCUAGAGUGCGUUCGGGGCAGAGGGAAUUCCUGGUGUAGCGGUGAAAUGCGUAGAGAUCAGGAAGAACACCGGUGGCGAAAGCGCUCUGCUAGGCCGCAACUGACACUGAGGGACGAAAGCUAGGGGAGCGAAUGGGAUUAG